CUGGAAGGAGAACAAGGAGAUCACAGGCUCCAAGCGAGACCAAGACUUCUCCUGGGAAAUGAGCUUUUCUCCCAGAUGGAGCUCUAUCUGCCUUGCACGAGUCAACUCCAUCAAGUGUGCACUGCUCAGCCUUGAGGUUGACCAGCCAGUUCUGCCUGCCUGCCAAAUGAUGCCCUGAAUUGUCUGUGGUUCUGGGGAUCAAGCCUUGUAGGGAUCACCACUGCUUUCUGUCCAUCCUCUCACAUAACCCCACAGAGACUGGCAAGCACUGAGCAACUGGAGAGGAAGACCAGCAGAGCCCCUCUGAGCAUUAGCAACUUCUCUGGGCUCAGCAGGAAAGAAUGCAGAGACUGAACAAUGAUCUCUGCCUGCCAAGAGCCAAGAGGGGACGAGGAGGCCCAACUGGGAGAUGCUCUUUAAUCUUCCACUGGGGAUUUCUUUGGGAAUGACGCUCUGCGGUUCAUCAUCACAUCCCACACAAAAGGAAACCUGAAUCAAUGGAGAGCUCUACCCGACCCAUGGAUUAGAUGAUCCAGUACCAUAAAUAUGAGGAUGUCUCCCAAAUUAAUAUACGCGUCUAAUGAAAUGCCCAUCAAAAUCUCAGUAAGGAUUAUCCUGGACCUUCACAAGCUGGAUCUAAAAUUCAUAUGGAAGAGAAAAGGCCAAAGAAUGGCCAAAAUGAUUUUGAAGAAGAACAAGGAGGAGAGACCGACCCUGCCAGUUAUUAAGACCUAUUACAAAGCCAUUCACAUAAAGGAAUUAGUGCAGGAAUGGACAAAUAGACCAAUGGAAUAGAACAGAGGGCCCAGAAAUAUACUCACAUGUAUCUGAAUACCUGAUACAUGACAGAGGUGACAUUAAUAAGGAAAGGACAGACCAUUCAAUAAACAAUGUUGGGUAAUUGGUUAUCCACAUGGAAAAGUCAAAAUUCAAGAUGGAAUGUAAUUGAGAUUGACAUAUAUACACUACUAUAUAUAAAAUAGAUAACUAAUAAGAACCUACUGUAUAGCACAGGGAACUCUACUCAAUACUCCAUAAUGACUUAUAUGGAAAAGAAUCUAAAAAAGAGUGGAUAUAUGUAUAUGUAUAACUGAUUCACUAUGCUGUACAGCAGAAACACAACAUUGUAAAUCAACUAUACUCCGAUAAAAAUUAAUUACAAAAAAAACAGAAAACAAAAAGUGGAAUGCAAAAUAAAAACAAUUUUUUUUAAAGUCGUAUGUAAAACUUUUUGGAAGAGACUGUAAACAUAAGAGAAUAGAUUUAUGACAUUGGGAUAAGGAAACAUUUUUUAAAAUAGAGAAUAGCAAACCCACAAGCCAUAAAGGAAACAAUAAAUUUGCCUAAGUUAAGAUUACAACUAUUGUUCAAGAAAAGACACAAUAAACCAAGUAAAAAGACUCCUCACAAACUCUAUCCAGAAUAUAUCAAGAACUCCCACAAUCAGUAAGGAAAAGGCCACCCAGGAGGAUAAUCAACAAAGGGUAUGAAUUAGAAAUUCACAAAUAAAUGACACCAGGUGUCCAAUAAACAUAAGAAGCUUCACCUCCACAGUAAUUGGGGAAAUGCACAUUCAAUUCACAAUGAGGUAUCAUUUCAUCCCCAUCAGACUGGCAAGACCUUUAAAGUGUGGGCAGCAGUGGUUCAUGCUGGAUAGAACGGCCAAGAUGAGAGUUAAAUGGUACAACCACUUUGGAGAGCAAUGUGUUACUAGUGAGUAAAGUUGAGAAGGAAUAUUCCUUAUGAUCCAGAAAUACCAAUUCUAGAUUUACAGGACAACUCUUAUACAUGUACACAAAGAGACAUAUGUAAGAAUGUUUUGCAAUAUCAAUUAUAGAAGCAAAAAAAUAUCUAUCAACAGGGGAAUGAGCAAAUAAAGCGUGGUGUAUUCACUCAGUGGUGUGCUACUCAACAGUC